AAACAAACUGUGGUGUGCCCUGAGAGGAUGUUAGGUGUGCCAUGAAAAUUUUUAAAGAUAAUUAAUUAAAUUAUUUUGGAAAGAAGUUCAAGGCACAGUAAGUAUAUUCUUUUUUUCUUUUUUUUUUUUUGAGACAGAGUCUUACUCCUUUUCUCUGGGUAGAGUGCCCUGGCAUUAUAUCUCACCGCGACCUAAAACUCCUGGGUUCUAGUCAUCUUCUUGCCUCAACCUCCUAAGUAACUGAGACUACAGGCACCUUCCACGACCCCCACUGGCUUUUCUGUUUUUAUUUUUAUUUAUUUAUUUAUUUAUUUUAUUAAAUCAUAGCUGUGUACAUUAGAAAGGUCUUGCUCUUGCUCAGGCUGGUCUGGAACUCCUGAGCUGAAGCGAUUCACCUGCCUCGGCCUCCCAGAGUGCUAGGAUUGCAGGUGUAAGCCACUGGGCUGGCCUAAUCUUUUUUUUUUUUUUGAUCAACAUAAUUUAAGUGUGCUGAGGAAGUUUAACUAUAGGUUUGAGUGUGCCAUGAGAUUGAAAACACUGAUACUAAUGUCACUCACUCAAGAAUGCCUUCCUGAUAGACUGACAGUUAGUGUUCUUUGGUUCCAGGCCCCAGUGGGCCUCCUGAAAUUCCAACUUCAUGAUGCUCCAGGAGCUGCUCCCCCGAGGUCAGGCCAGGGACGUGGCAACCUCAGACUGCAGUAAGAGCAAUACACACGUUUUUCAUGGACAGUGCUUGGUAAUUUAACAGUUUUCCCAUUCAUCAUCAUUUUUGGUCUUGACAGUAAGCCAACAAGCUCUGUAUCAUCUUCCAAAUGAGAUGGAAGAUGGGACGGGGAUCCCGUAGCUGGUCAGUGGCAGAUCUGUGACUACGUACAAGUUCUUUGCCUGACUACCCAACUCUGCUUUUUCUAAUUCUGAAGCUUCCCCCCGCCCCUAGGAAGUACCAGCCCAGAUGUAGGCCUAGCAUAAUUGUCAUAGCUUAUCACCCGUCUGGUACAGCUGCUCUUAGGAAGAGUUUUAAAUCUCGUCUGUGACCAUGGGAGAUAUUUAUAAACUGAUCCUAUGUCUCUGUCUUUAUGUUUUUUUUUUUAUUUCAGAUUAAUAUGAGGGUACAAAUAUUUAGGUUACAUUGUUUUCAUUUUUAAGGUAAAUUCAAGUUGUCGUUGAGCCCUUCACCCAGGGGGCUGCUGAACACCCUCACAUUGUGCACACUGGGUGAGAUCUAGCCAAUGGCCCUCCGCCCCCCCUUCUCCUCCCUGUCUCCUUCUCCCCUCCUCCUCAUUAGACUACACUUGUGUUUUUUCUUUUGUGUAAGUGUCUAGUUGUUUAUAUAUUGGUUUCGUAUUAGUACAGCUGUCUCUAGGUCUUUAAACCAUAUGUAGGCGCUCCUAACUUUAGGUCUACGGAUCGUUAACAGUUUCUGUUUUUCUAGUAUUUGAUAACAGAUUUUCCACCCAGUUUCAUAGCCAAUGUCACAUUUCAGGUUUUGUUAUAGCAAGACUCCACUCCUGGAACCUAUUUUUGUAUAAGCUGUUAGCUUUUGCUGCAUAGUACCUAAUCCCAAGAUGCAGUCGUUUAAAACAAUAACUAUUUAUCAGCUCAUAAUCCUUUGGUUCAUCAAACAGGUCUAGGCUAAGCUGGGUGGGUCUGCCUGUCCUGCCUGGGUGUGGUCAGUGGGCAGCAGGUGAGCCAGGGCCUGGUUGAUCCAGGAAGGCCUUACUCACCUGCAUGAUGGUCCCUUCUGUCUGCUGGGCUGGCUGUUGGCUGAAGCAAGGAGGAGUCUAUGCCACGUGUCUCCAAAUAGAUUCACUCAGGGUUGACGGCAUCAUGAAUUUAUGGUUUUACAAAACAGGUAAAAGGGGCAAGCUUCAAUGCAUAGUAAGUGCUCUCCAAGCCUCUGCUUACAUUAUGUUUCUUGAUGUCCCAUUGGCCAAAGGGAGGCCAAGCACAUAUUCAAGAGGUGAAGAAAUAGCUUAUUUUUGUUGAUGGGAGGACCAAUAGUCACAGAGCAAAAGGGUAUACAUACAGGGUUGGAAGGAUUUGUGGACAUUUUGCAAUUUACCAGAGACAUGCUCCAAUUUCCCACUGAGGUGAUGAAGAGCCAAUGUGCUUCCUCCAUUUCUCUCCCUUUCUGUCGUGUUUAUUUGGGAGCAUGCGUUGAGACAGCAGCGUCUUUUGGUGGAAGGAGUCUAUACCCCAAGUGACAGGUGGAGGGGCUUUAUGUGAGUGAGAAUUAACCAUCUGUUGUGCCUAUCACUGAGAUCUUGUGGUUUAUGUGUUACUGCAGCAACAGCUAUCCUAUCCUGACCAAUAUACUCUGAUAUUGCACACAAAAUUUGCUGUGUAUGUGUGUGCAUUUUUCUGGUGAAAAAAAAAGAAAACACUUAAAAGGAUCUGAGAUUCAAAAGAAGCAAAAACAAAAAAAUUUUCCUCAAAUUUUCUCAGCUCACAGAAUUACAUGUUGUCCAUCCGAAGGGAAUGUGGUGUAGUCUGAAGUAUUGGGGGAUUCAGAAAGACCUAGAUCAGCAUGUCAUUUCUCCUAUUUAUUAGUUUAUAUCCUGAAUAAAUCCCUAACCCCUAUGAGCAGUCAACUUCCAAAUUGAAAAUUCAGGCUUGUUGAAAUAAUGCUUCACAAUAACCAUUUAUUGAGUAUCUACCAGGCGCCAGGUGCAAUACAGGGGACUGGACAUCAAGAUGAAUGAGUGGUCAGCCUUCCCGAAGAGAGCGGACAGCUUACUGAGAGGACAGGCACAGGUGACCCUGUGCACAGUGACAAGUGCAGCGAGAGGGGUCUGCACAGGGCAGUGUGGACAUCAGCACUGCAGGUGCAUGUGUGUGCACAUGAGUGAGUGUGUUAUUGGGAAAGCUCUCUCAGCAGUGGGCUGACUCUUAUGAGUUAAAGAGGACUUAGCCAACCAAAGGGAGGGCAUGUGACCCUAUGAGAGAGGGGUGAGCAAAAGCAAGAUGCAAAGGUGGGAAAUUUCUCAAGGUCAGUCGACACCAUCAGCCCUUCAGUGUCAGUGGGGCACAGAAUUCAGCACGAGCAGGGGAAAGAAAUGAGCCAGGAGAGGCAGGCAGGAGCCUUAUCAGAACAAUCUUUCUGAAGUGGACUUGGUUGUGCCUGCCCACCUGACUCCUUAUCAUCCAGGGGAAAAUAAAUGUCAACUCCUCAGGCUGGCUCACAAGGCCCGCCCACGUGGCUCCCCUUUCCUGGACAGCCUCAGCUGCUUCCGCCUAAACCCUUCUAGCAUGCAGGGAUUUCCCCACCUCUGACUUUGCUCAGAUAGGUCCUUCUGUCUUCCCGGCCUUCUUUGUUCUGCAUUUGGGAGUUCACACUUUAAGACAAAGCUCAACUACAAAGGCCCCCUGGCCUUUGCAGGGGAUGUGAGGCAGCCCAGGGGGAUGCGAGACACUUGGGGCCUGUGCAGACACCUGUGCCUUCACUCCUGGGAUGGCAUCUCCAAGUAUGCUCCACAGCGUUCACUGUGCUUUGCCUGUCAAUAUCCCAAAUUCAGAGCAAGAACGUGCAGCGCUGAGUAGCGCCCACGAACAAGAUGAGCGGGGAAGAUACGAAUGAGGAGUUGGCAGGGACUUAUGAACUUUAAGCUCAUCUGUGUGAUGUUGACACAUUAAUCUUUGUUUUUACAGGACACCAAGGUCAACCAUAUAGUAAAAUCUAAAUCAACCCUCCAACAUAUGUUGAAUACCCUAUUUUCUUGAAGGUGCGGUAAAAGCGGGGGAGUACAGGACACAUCUGAGGCUGAACGAGAAGAUGGUCUGAGGCCUAAUCAUAACCAGUGUCUUUCUGAACUGCUGCUCCUUCACCCUGUGCACAGAUGGAUGCACAAACGGGCUUUCAGCUGUGGAUGUAAUACUGGUGUGGCAUCGCCCAGGGACACUGUGCAGAAUGAACGUGGAGUUAAUCCAAGUAACCUGGCUGAGGGGCCCAUGAAGAAUGCGGACUUCCACUGUUUGCAGACUACUCCACAAGAAUCCUUGACAGUCCGUCACGGCCUUUCCUACGUCCCAUUGGAGUGAUCUCACUGGAGCCCCAUGAGGCAUGUCUUUGGUGUUCCCACCUCUAUUUUAACAGCAAGCCAGCAAAGACUCCAUGGUUUGAUGACUUUCCCAGUCAUUCAGCCAGCCUAGGGCAGAGCUGGGAUAAACCAGGUUGUAUUUUUAGACUGUUAUAUUGUGAUAAAAUAUAAAUAAUCUAAUGGUUUGCCUUUUUAACAAUGUGUACGUAUAAAAUUCAGCAGCAUUAAUAACAUCCAUAAUAUUGCACAACCAUCACCUCUAUUUCCAAACCCCUUUAGUUUCCCCACAUGGAAACUCCUGCAUCCACUAAGCAGUAACCCCCCAUUUCCCAAACCCUGUAAACCUCUGAUCUACUGUCCAUCUCUAUGAAUUUGCCUGUUUUUCUUCUUAUCUUUAAAUCAACUUUAUGGAGUCACGAUGUACAUACAAUGAAACACACCCACACCGAAUGCGCAGUGCAGUGAGUUUUGACACCCACGAGAGGUGCAGUGCACCCCUCACAUCACAAACUUCCCUUGCUCCCUUCUGAGUCAAUCCGCCCUCCCAGUGGCAGCCCUGCUCUGCAUUUGACUGAUCCCACCAGAUUUGUUUUUUUCUAGAGUCUCAGUUUUUUCCUACCGCCCUCUCUACACCAUGUGAUUUUGCUCCCAUAGAACGUGGAUGCUGGAAGGGCCCUCAGCCUCACAGCUCUUCUCCUGCAUGAAGACACGUAAGCCCCAGACACAAAGGCACGUUGCCAAAGCCACAAGGACACAGUGGAGAGCCAAGGGGGCAGCCCAGGGUUCCGAUGCCCUUUUUUGUGCCUGUUUUCUUCAUCCUCUCCCAAGCCCAGCUCUUUGGCAUGACGUAUCAGGGCAAAGAGUUUCCUCCAUCACAUUACAAUGACAGCCUCUUCGAAGCUACCUAAAUUGGGAUUAGCACUUUGAGCCCAUUCAACGUUGAUUAUAUUUGUCUGAGCGAAGCUUGGCCACAUGUAGCAAAAGUACAUCAAAAGAAAUACAUCUGUAGUAGCAGAGAGAACACCGCAUGCUGAUACAGGCAGCCUCAGAGGCGUGGUAGGCGGUAGGCCAUGCAACCUGCCUGCUCAGCCAGCUCAGCUACACUCCAUCCCGGGAGGCUGGGGUGAGCGCAAUCAGAGCAGAGCCAAGCUGGGGGUUAGCCCGGAGCUGGGAGGUGAGCCAAGCUGGGGUCCCGCAGCAUCUCCCUGCCUAGGCACAGUAGCUGCAGCCUCCUGGUCUUUUGGGCCCAACCCGCGAGCUAGCUCUGUGGGCAUUUCAAAUUUCCUGGCUUGGCAAAUGAGACAGGCAGUGGUAGCCAGAGUGGAAAUUAGGCUCAGAUAAUUCAAAAUUCUAUCUGAAUUCAUGUUUACAGUGAAGAAAAAUACCCGGGUUUAGGGAGCCUUUAGAAAGGAGCCGGCAAUCCUCAAAACCACCUGUAGGAACUCACAAAAGCAUUUCACCUGCCCGGGGCUCAGCCUCGUCUGCUGCAAAUGGAAUCUGUAAUAUCCUCCACCAGGGGUUGUGG